rnacentral:lncRNA from 1 species
CCAAUUCCCUGGGGGCUCCCCUGGCAGGGGGAAACUCUCCUGAAGCAGGAAAAGCAGACCCACAGGACUUUUUCGGUCUUCAAGUUCUUGUUUUACUGUUAUCUUAUCAUGACUUCAGCACAUUGUCUACACCCAGACCUUGUAUGCCUGAAAAUAGCACAAAAGUGGCUAACAAACUCCUUCUGUAAGGUCUUUUAAAGUCUAAUCAAAAACUAAACUACCCAAUUAAGAAGUGACACCUAGAUUAUUACCUUUUCUAACCCAAUAACUGACCCCUAAAGACCCGCAAUGAGGAUUUUUCUGCCCAAACAAGAUGUCACCCAAACCCAAGAAGAAGGAAGAAGAAGGAAGAAGAAAGGAACUUAAGACAACACCCUGUACCCUCCAUCUUGUGCCUAUCUACAAUAUGUUAAAAAUCCUAAAAUCUAAUUUCUCACCCAUGUGACAUACUAAACUACUCUCUACAAUUUCUACAAUCUAUUUCACACUUUUGUGGUCUCUAGUUUACUUUGAGGCUUAGGAGGCCUUCUCCACAAAUGAGGGUUAAAGUCAGUGUUUUCCUGGGAGUCAGAGCACCCCAGGGCAGACAAGGGGAUAUUCCCCCUGCCCUGGGUUCCCACGGUAACAUUUGGAAGAAGGGGCAGCAAGUCAGGAAACCAACAAGGAUCUAAUGAGGCAGAGAGAAAAUGAGAAGAAUGGAAGCCCAUCUGGCCACUGCUGUAAAAUACAAUAAAACAAAUGUUUCUAUAAAUACAUUAACCACAAAACAAGGGCUAAAGAGAAUCUCCUUUAUUGUAUAUCUGGGCAAAUCUAGAGACAAAGAAUGAGGAAAAGUCUCAGGUACCUCGAAAGGUGAUGGAGCAAAUAGAGCAAACCAUCCUGAGUGCCAUAAUGUGGCAUGUGCAGAUCAACCAGGGAUCAGGCCCAGCCAACAUGGGUGUGUGAAAGACAAGUCCUGCUUGAGCAACCUGGCUUCUGUGACAACAUGACCUGCUUGGUGGGGAAAGGCUGCCACCUGCAUGAUGGAUGUACUGUCAUCUGCAAUUUCCCCAAAUGGACGGAGCUUCAACAUCUGUGACAAUGGCAAAUUGCUCAUGUUCUCCCAUAUGAGAGAGAAGAAAUACUCCAUGAAAUGACUCUCAUCUGACAAGGGAGGUGAGGCUUUGGGCAGAUAAUUUUCAGAUGUGUUGCAUGAGAAAGGUUGUCAUCCCCUAAAAAACCUACACCAAGACUAUUAAAAUAGCCCAAAGUCUGCUCCUUGCCCAUGUCUGCAGGUUUGAAUUCUGUGAGAUAUGACUAAGGCUGGAUCCAUUCACACAGUACAAUAAAGGCUUUGAAAUAAGAGCCUUGCA